rnacentral:tRNA from 1 species
UGCGAAUGAUCCGUGACAGCGUGGUAUGGCUGCCAACCGCACUGGCACGAAACAGCACGCUACCGUCCUGUACCACU